rnacentral:rRNA from 1 species
CCCUUAGAUGUUCUGGGCCGCACGCGCGCUACACUGAUGCAUUCAACGAGUUUCUUCCUGGUCCGAGAGGAAUGGGUAACCUUUUGAAAGUGCAUCGUGAUAGGGAUAGACUACUGCAAUUAUUGGUCUUCAACGAGGAAUUCCUAGUAGACGUAGUUCAUCAGACUGCAUCGAUUACGUCCCUGCCCUUUGUACACACCGCCCGUCGCUCCUACCGAUUGAAUGCUCAGGUGAGCCAUUCGGACUUUCAUCAUGCUGGUUUCCAGUUUUGAUGAAGGAAAGUCUUGCGAACCUUAUCAUUUAGAGGAAGGAGAAGUCGUAACA